rnacentral:rRNA from 1 species
GACGAACCGUACGAACGUUAUUCGGAAUCACUGGGCUUAAAGGGUGCGUAGGCGGCGCGGUAAGUCGGGUGUGAAAUCUCGGAGCUUAACUCCGAAACUGCAUUCGAUACUGCCGUGCUUGAGGACUGGAGAGGAGACUGGAAUUUACGGUGUAGCGGUGAAAUGCGUAGAUAUCGUAAGGAAGACCAGUGGCGAAGGACGGGUCUCUGGACAGUUCCUGACGCUGAGGCACGAAGGCCAGGGGAGCAAACGGG